AGGACGAACGCUGGCGGCGUGCUUACCUCAUGCAAGUCGAACGGAAAGGCCUGCAGCUUGCUGCGGGUACUCGAGUGGCGAACGGGUGAGUAACACGUGGGUGAUCUGCCUUGCACUUCGGGAUAAGCUUGGGAAACUGGGUCUAAUACCGGAUAGGACAGCUGUUUAGUGUCAGUUGUGGAAAGUUUUUUCGGUGCAAGAUGAGCUCGCGGCCUAUCAGCUUGUUGGUGGGGUAAUGGCCUACCAAGGCGUCGACGGGUAGCCGGCCUGAGAGGGUGUACGGCCACAUUGGGACUGAGAUACGGCCCAGACUCCUACGGGAGGCAGCAGUGGGGAAUAUUGCACAAUGGGCGGAAGCCUGAUGCAGCGACGCCGCGUGGGGGAUGAAGGCCUUCGGGUUGUAAACUCCUUUCGACAGGGACGAAGCGUAAGUGACGGUACCUGUAUAAGAAGCACCGGCUAACUACGUGCCAGCAGCCGCGGUAAUACGUAGGGUGCGAGCGUUGUCCGGAAUUACUGGGCGUAAAGAGCUCGUAGGUGGUUUGUCGCGUCGUCUGUGAAAUUCCGGGGCUUAACUCCGGGCGUGCAGGCGAUACGGGCUGACUUGAGUGCUGUAGGGGAGACUGGAAUUCCUGGUGUAGCGGUGAAAUGCGCAGAUAUCAGGAGGAACACCGAUGGCGAAGGCAGGUCUCUGGGCAGUAACUGACGCUGAGGAGCGAAAGCAUGGGUAGCGAACAGGAUUAGAUACCCUGGUAGUCCAUGCCGUAAACGGUGGGCGCUAGGUGUAGGGGGCUUCCACGUCUUCUGUGCCGUAGCUAACGCAUUAAGCGCCCCGCCUGGGGAGUACGGCCGCAAGGCUA
rnacentral:rRNA from 1 species